rnacentral:rRNA from 1 species
UACGUAGGGUGCAAGCGUUAAUCGGAAUUACUGGGCGUAAAGCGUGCGCAGGCGGUUAUGUAAGACAGGUGUGAAAUCCCCGGGCUUAACCUGGGAACUGCAUUUGUGACUGCAAGGCUGGAGUACGGCAGAGGGGGAUGGAAUUCCGCGUGUAGCAGUGAAAUGCGUAGAUAUGCGGAGGAACACCGAUGGCGAAGGCAGCUUACUAGACUGUAACUGACGCUGAGGCACGAAAGUGUGGGGAUCAAACAGG